rnacentral:rRNA from 1 species
CCUACGGGAGGCAGCAGUGGGGAAUAUUGCACAAUGGGGGAAACCCUGAUGCAGCGACGCCGCGUGAGCGAGGAAGUAUUUCGGUAUGUAAAGCUCUAUCAGCAGGGACGAAAAUAGACGGUAUCUGACUAAGAAGCCCAGGCGAACUACGUGCCAGCAGCCGCGGUAAUACGUAGGGGGCAAGCGUGAUCCGGAUUUACUGGGUGGAAAGGGAGGGUAGACGGGAAGGCAAGCCAGGAGUGAAAGGGAAGGGCUCAACCCUGUACAUGCUUUUGGCACUGGGGGGCGAGAGUGCAGGAGAGGUGAGUGGAAUUCCUGGUGUAGCGGUGAAAUGCGUAGAUAUUGGGAGGAACACCAGUGGCGAAGGCGGGUUCCUGGACUGUAACUGACGUUGAGGCACGAAAGCGUGGGGAGCGAACAGGAUUAGAUACCCUAGUAGUC